UGCAUCUUGAAUUAUUUACAAUAUAUAAAUAUAUUCAAAGAUUAUAAAGCUCUUUUGCUGUGUGAGACAAGAAGCCAACAACAUCUGCUUGAACAUCACCAGGACAUAAUAAGACAAUUUGGCAUGGAUCUCUGCACCUUGGUAUUUUUUGAUGAAUCGCCUGGAUUGAAAAGGUUUUGGAUUGAGAGAGAACCACACUAAUUUGGCCCUAGAGAACUUCAGAUCCAUCAGCAGGCUUCCCUUUAGGGCUUCUGGUUGGCCACUGUCAGAGGCUGAACUAAGUGGACCUUUGGUAUGACCCAAAUUCUAAAGGUGGUUUUGCUGUUUUUUUUGUCUUGUUCAUGGUUAUGAAGCUGCACGACUUUUUGGGAUGUAUCUGUGACUUCAAGAUUAAAAUGUAGUUGAAUAUAAAUGAGGAUAACAGUGCAUCUCAGAAUCACUUGGUACAAUCAGUUGGUUGGGUGAAAAGAAAGAUAAUGUGGAUAAGGUAUAAAGAUUUAUUAGAAAGGAAAACACCUAAUUUGAUUUCACCUCUAGAGGCGAAGGUGCAAAAAAGGUUAAAUAUGGAAACCAGAUGGCUAAGAUAUAGAGAUAUUCUGAUAGAAGAAGAAGGCCAGUUUAAGUUAAAAACUAAUAAUAAUAAUAAUAAUAAUAAUAAUAAUAAUAAUAAUGGCUAAGAUAUAGAGAUAUUCUGAUAGAAG